rnacentral:lncRNA from 1 species
UUUUUUUAAAAAUAUAAUACAUCAAAAAUACUGAAAAUAUUAAAAUAAAUUAUUCUCAACAAAUUGAAAAUAAAAUUUAAAAAAUAUGUAUACUUAAAUAACAUUAAGAUAGGUGAAAUGAUAGCAAAAUAGUAAAAAAAAAAACAACAAGAAGAAGAAAAUAGAAAAAAGAGAGUAAAAAACAGUAAAAAAAAGUGCAGUUUUUUUUUACAUAUUCGGGUCAGGCCGGCCCCAGGUUGAAAAGCCUUAUCCGAGUCUCACGGGUCUUUUUUUUUUGCCCAAACUCAUUUUCUGAGCCUAUAUUUUUAUCCAAAC